rnacentral:sRNA from 1 species
CCAUCGCAAGGAAACGCUUGCUUCCAGUGGUACCAAAUAGUAUUUGGAACCAGUUUGUGCCCAAGCUCAAAUCUCGUUAGCAUCUGCCUGUUUCCCUGGUGUGCAUGUGUCCUGCCUCGAUGCAUUUGGCACCAGGUGGGAUGCGCUGGGCCUGCUGCCUGGUUGCUGCCUUUGCGUGUUUAUUUAGCCCCAAUGGCGUCUCCCAUCUCCCCCGCAUGGGAAAGGCAGGUGCUGCCCUCUGGGAGCCUGGCAGGAGGAACACUGGGUUGGGGAGGGGGGCAUGUGUGGUCCCAAGUCUGGAAGAAGCUCCUUCCUCUUCUCCCGCUGGGAGCUGUGUGGCUGAUGGGAGCCCAUCUCCACCGCGGCACCUGCAUGGUCUCAGCCUUCCGGUUCGGUGCCGCUGUGCCGGGGGCUACUCUCUUGCCAGUGGGGACCACAGCCCUCAGUAUCCCAUAGGUCAAGGGCGUCAGGCCCUCUCAGUGAGCCUCAGUCAUUCACUUUAGAAACUGCUUCCCGGCUCGGUCUGCUAGGUGUUGAACAUGACCGUGGCACUCACUGAAAACACCUGCCUGGGAAGGCAUCUGCGGCAGGAAGGCUGCUUCCCUCCUGGCUGAGGGGCACUGCCCUGCCUGACAAGGGCGUGGCUUCCCAGGGCCUGGGGAUCGAGGUCUCCCACAGGGUGGCCCAGCAAUUGGAAGCAGAUGGUCUCAAACCCUGAAACGUGCCAGGCAUUCUGGAAGUUUGCAGGGGUGUCCUGCUCAGCUCUUUAUGAACCCAGGAAGAUGACAGGCUCUGUUGGGGGCCCACGGCACACAUUUCAGGGGGUCUGUGGGACUUAACUGACCCCACCUCAGACAGAUGCAGACAGCGGCUCAUCACCGGGGGGUCCCUCACGGGUGUCUGUCUCUCUUAGGUUGGAGCAAAACAUCCCACUCACUGGAGGCACCUGAGGACGACGGGGGCUGGUCAAGUGCAGAGGAGCAGAUUAACUCGUCCGACGCAGAGGAGGACGGCGGGUUGGGCCCCAAGAAGCUGGUUCCGGGUAAAUAUACGGUCGUGGCGGACCACGAGAAGGGAGGCCCCGAUGCGCUGCUCGUGAGGAGCGGGGACGUGGUGGAGCUGGUGCAGGAGGGCGACGAGGGCCUUUGGUAAGACCCCGCGCUCACCCCCGGACUGCCCCGCACGUGGCUGCCGCUGACCCUCGCCCCUUGCAGGUACGUCAGGGACCCGACCACUGGCAAGGAGGGCUGGGUGCCGGCCAGCAGCCUGUCCGUCCAGCUCGGCCCGUCCGGCUCGGCCCAGUGCCUGAGCAGCUCAGAGUCGAGCCCGGGGUCGGCCGUGCUGAGCAACUCGUCCAGCUGCAGCGAGGGCGGCCAGGCCCCCUUCUCCGACCUGCAGGGGUAGCGCCGCGCAGUCUCGGCGCCGGAGACCCGCGCGCUGUCUGGGGCUGCCGCUGCGAGGGCUGGUGUGGCGUGGGGAGGGCGCAGUGCCCCCGGACGCCCCGAGGAAGGGGCACCUCACCGCCCCGACCCAGAGCGCCUGGCCGUGCGGGCUGCAGAGGACCCCUCCAGGGCAGAGGCAGGUUCCACGGAAGACCCCGGCCCGCUGGGGCUUCCCCGGAGACUCCAGAGCCCACAGAGGAGGGGCCGCAGGGAACAGCCCCGGGCAGGAGGCGCCGGGCAGCGGCAUCUCCUCCUGGCUCCACUGUGCUGCUUCUGCCUCUGGACGGUGCUUUCAGGGGACGCGCGGACCGUGGUGGAGCUGCUUCCGGAGAAGUGGAGGAUCCUCUGGCCAACGGCCUGAGGAGAGCGGGGCACGGGGUCUCUUUAUCUUUUACAAGUUUUAGGAUUUUUUUAAGCAGGGAUCAAUCCCGUGGCCAUUUUUUGUGGUACUUUGGCCUCAAUUCUUUACCAGGAAUCACUGUGUUUACAUGAAAUGACAAUUUGAUACUGUAUUUGAUAGAAAACUAUUUUUUUGUUACCGGGGUUUACAUAGAAGCACGUUGUUUAUACCACUAAAUGACUUUGGGGGGGCUCUCCCAUGGAAACGGAUGGCACUCCCUGAAGCUCCCUGGUCACAGGUGGAUGAAAACGUGUCCGUGGGUGACAUCAGGUGGUGUCUCCACCACCAAAAGCAGUUAGAAGCCAAGGAGAUUCCUUUAUCUACCUAGGGUUCAUUUUCAAAAGAAAAUUUAAACUAUAAUUUAAACAAUUAACGUUCUUUUCUACAAAAAAAAUGCAGGGACUUGAUUUUUUUUAAAGAGCUUCACUGAAUUAGGAUAUUUUUAUUGCUUUUAAAGAAAAUACAAAGAUGCAGUUUCUGCAGGGUGUGGCGUGGACCAGUGCUGCCGACCAUAGCUCAGAGAGCCCUGCCCCUGCCUCACUGCACUGCAGCCUCCUCGGAGGCCGCACCUCCACUCCACUCCCCACGCGCCCCCUGCCUCCCACCCAGGUCCACCUGCCACCUGGUGACCACCUUGAGUACAGAAGUGAAAGUGGGGAGAGUAUUUUAUUCAAGUCACAGCAGAACUGGAAAAAAACUCUUCUGUUUUACCAACUUCUUGUGUUUCAGAAACAUAUUCUGUUCAAAACUUUUGAAGCCCUUUCGGCGUCUAGUCUGCAGAUGUUUUUGUAUGUGUGCACCUCUGACCAUGUGUGUACAUAUGUGUCUUGCUGGAAAGGACAUAUUCGCUGUCCCCGUGCUGCUGGGAGGGCCGCCUCACAGCCUCAUGGUUCCCAGCCCCAGCACAGUGGAGGCAGGCGUGGCUGCAUUCCCCUCACGCUACCCUCCCAGCGGCUUGUAGCCGUCACUGGCCAGACCUCCAGGAUGCGGAAUCAAAUAGGAAGCAUGCAGAGACUCGGCAGUUUUUCCUCUGAUGUGUAAGUUAUUUGGAAUGCGUGCUGUGCCCUGCGAUGUCCCUGAUGUACUGUGCAGGCGCGGUGCCUCCGUCUCGUCGCACAGCUGCGCGCCCUUGUGUGACCCUCCCCAUAAAGGCACUUUACAGCUUCAUGUUUCAUCCACUGUCACUUUUUUUUAACUGCUGAUGUAAAUGGAAUUUUAAAAGCAGAGUUCUUUAUUGUAUGGAUGACGUUUGAAUAAAUAUCAGCAACUCCUGC